GCUGGGCGCAGUGGUGCAUGCCUGUAAUUCCAGAGGCUCGGGAGGCUGAGGCAGGAGGAUCACGAACAAGUUCAAAGCCAGCCUCAGCAAAAGCAAGGCCCUAAGCAACUCAGUGACGUGACACUCUGUCUCUA
rnacentral:sRNA from 1 species